rnacentral:ncRNA from 18 species
UUUCAUAUCAACUUAUUAAGUGCAUCACAGACAUUUUCCCCUCUUUUUUUGUCCGUGGUGAAAAGGGAAUCAGGUGAAAAUCCUGAGCGGUCCGGCCACUGUAAGCAAGGAGCGAAGCGCAAGAAUCCAUUGUAUUAGAGCGUACGAGAAGGAGCGCCAAGCGUUGAUAGGCAAGUCAGGAAACCUGCUUAAGUAAGUGAAAGGUUG